rnacentral:lncRNA from 1 species
AGAAUAGAUCUAGGAAGCCAAAUCAACUUGACAUUAUUUACUUAGUAAAUAAAUUAUAUCAAAAUGGACAAUAAAAAUUGAAUAAUCUUUAAAAUUUGAGUGUAGGACUUUUAAAUUCAAAAUCAUUUUUUGUUAACCUUAAUUUAGAUAGUUUAAAGUAUUUUCUAUCAAAAUUUGAAGAAAUUUAGAUUCUUUUACACUGUUAAACUCCAAACUCGCCAUAGUAGCCAUUAAAAAUUAAUAAUUUUGAAAUAGUUUGAUCAUAAAAUAAACAACGUCGAAGAAAUAUAAAAUUUUAUUUCUAAAAACUUAGUACAGGAGCCCCGAUACUUAUAGAUAGUAUAGAAGACUAGCUAUAUAUAUAUAUAUAUAUAUAUAUA